rnacentral:rRNA from 1 species
GUGGGGAAUCUUGCGCAAUGGGCGAAACCCUGAUCUAGCCAUGCCGCGUGAGCGAUGAAGGCCUUAGGGUUGUAAAGCUCUUUCAGCUGGGAAGAUAAUGACUGUACCAGCAGAAGAAGCCCCGGCUAACUCCGUGCCAGCAGCCGCGGUAAUACGGAGGGGGCUAGCGUUGUUCGGAAUUACUGGGCGUAAAGCGCACGUAGGCGGACCGGAAAGUCAGAGGUGAAAUCCCAGGGCUCAACCUUGGAACUGCCUUUGAAACUCCUGGUCUUGAGGUCGAGAGAGGUGAGUGGAAUUCCGAGUGUAGAGGUGAAAUUCGUAGAUAUUCGGAGGAACACCAGUGGCGAAGGCGGCUCACUGGCUCGAUACUGACGCUGAGGUGCGAAAGCGUGGGGAGCAAACAGGAUUAGAUACCCGGGUAGUCC